GAGUUUGAUCAUGGCUCAGAACGUACGCUGGCGGCACGCCUAACACAUGCAAGUCGAACGAAGUAGCAAUACUUAGUGGCAGACGGGUGAGUAACAUGUAGGUAUCUGCCCUUUGGCCUGGAAUAACACGAGGAAACUUGUGCUAAUACCGGAUAAGUCUUUACGGAGAAAGCUUUAUGCACCAUUGGAUGAGCCUGCACUUGAUUAGUUUGUUGGUGGGGUAAUGGCCUACCAAGACUGUGAUCAAUAGCUGAUUUGAGAGGAUGAUCAGCCACAUUGGGACUGAGACACGGCCCAAACUCCUACGGGAGGCAGCAGUGGGGAAUCUUGCACAAUGGAGGAAACUCUGAUGCAGCGAUGCCGCGUGAGUGAAGAAGGCCCUUGGGUUGUAAAGCUCUUUCGUCGGGGAAGAAAAUGACUGUACCCGAAUAAGAAGGUCCGGCUAACUUCGUGCCAGCAGCCGCGGUAAUACGAAGGGACCUAGCGUAGUUCGGAAUUACUGGGCUUAAAGAGUUCGUAGGUGGUUGAAAAAGUUAGUGGUGAAAUCCCAGAGCUUAACUCUGGAACUGCCAUUAAAACUUUUCAGCUAGAGUAUGAUAGAGGAAAGCAGAAUUUCUAGUGUAGGGGUGAAAUUCGUAGAUAUUAGAAAGAAUACCAAUUGCGAAGGCAGCUUUCUGGAUCAUUACUGACACUGAGGAACGAAAGCAUGGGUAGCGAAGAGGAUUAGAUACCCUCGUAGUCCAUGCCGUAAACGAUGUGUGUUAGACGUUGGAAAUUUAUUUUCAGUGUCGCAGGGAAACCGAUAAACACACCGCCUGGGGAGUACGACCGCAAGGUUAAAACUCAAAUGAAUUGACGGGGACCCGCACAAGUAGUGGAGCAUGUGGUUUAAUUCGAAGAUACGCGCAGAACCUUACCAACACUUGACAUGUUCGUCGCGACUCUAAGAGAUUAGAGUUUUCGGUUCGGCCGGACGAAACACAGGUGCUGCAUGGCUGUCGUCAGCUCGUGUCGUGAGAUGUUGGGUUAAGUCCCGCAACGAGCGCAACCCUCACUUUUAGUUGCCAUCAUUAAGUUGGGCACUCUGAAAGAACUGCCAGUGAUAAGCUGGAGGAAGGUGGGGAUGACGUCAAGUCCUCAUGGCCCUUACGUGUUGGGCUACACACGUGCUACAAUGGUAUCUACAACAGGAAGCAAGACUGCGAAGUUAAGCAAAUCCCUAAAAGAUACCUCAGUUCGGAUUGCACUCUGCAACUCGAGUGCAUGAAGCUGGAAUUACUAGUAAUCGUGGAUCAGCGUGCCACGGUGAAUGCGU
rnacentral:rRNA from 1 species